UCUCCGUAGUAAUCAAACCUUGACAUUCCCCAAAAAAAGUGUAUUUAGGAAAAAAUGCAUAUCUCAGUAUUUAUCUUGGUGUGUACAGGCACAGGCCUUAAGAGGCCCACGCUAAUGAGUAAAGCAGGUGGAUGAUUUAAAAUGUGUUCCACAGCUAUUGAAAAUCUGCUCAGGGACCCUGGCGUACUGUACAUGCACACAGAGAUCAAUUUCUCAAGCAUCAUGGCAUCUAGAGAUCUGUGUGAAUCAACAUUCCUUCUGCAUUGCAUAAACACACUGAGCUUUUAACUCGAUGUGUGAUGGUGUCGGUGUUUAGGUGCCUAUUCAUUUGGUCCAUGUUGCAUGUGUCAGACUUUGCAAUAUUGUGUUGCAAUCCUGCGUUCUGUGAAAACAAAAAUCUUUGGAUGUAUAUUCUAUUGCAAGCGUGCUGUUUGAGGACGUGAUGUCAUAGUCGUGUUUAGAGAAGUACAAUAAACACACCUGCCAGGAAAACACUUUACCCCCUCACACAAGUGUGACCAUCAACUUAGGUCAGAGACUACAAACAAACCCCACUGCAAAAAUAAACAAGACAGAACAUCAUGAAGUUGCCAGGAUACUGCUGUUUAUUGGGCUCCAAGAUGGAUGACCAGAGCUCAUUCGGGGAGUCAUCACACACCUGCUGCAGCCUCCAGAGAUGAAGUUGGGUCUCUGGUUGAUUCAAGCACUGGGGACCCAAUUAUAGCACUUAAACAUGGAAAAAGUCAGAUUUUCGUGAUAUGGAAUUAGCCAACUUGUAAAAUACAUAUAAAAUUCUCGUGAGAUCAGGCUGGAAGCAAACAUGAACUGCACUACUUACAUUUUGACAAGUAAUUGUGUGUGAAAUCAGAUUUGUGCUUCAGUCCUAGAUCUCACUCACAUGGACAAAUAAUAUUUGGCAGUCGUGUGAAAACCACAGAGGAUGAGAGCAAAAUAACUGCACCACAUUCUCAGAGCCUUAGUAUCUGAAUGAAGAAGCAUUAAUAAAAUGACUAAGACUGUGAAGUACUGCUUAUAUGAUCCCAAACACCGUGAUUAAAUGACUCAUUUCAGUGUUUAAAUUGUUUGCUUCGUUCUCAUGAAUAAUCAUUGUAUGAGUAAAAAACCCUGUGCGAGUCAUCUCACAGCUUGAAGGCAACUAUUUUUGUUUGUCAUUUUUUUCAGGCGAAGCACAAAAACAUAAGCAACAAAGUUACAUUAUGAUUGACUCAGAACACUAAAAACAUGCUGUUUCUAAAAUAAAACUGAUA